rnacentral:tRNA from 1 species
GUUGUAGCUUAGUGGUAGAGCGCUUACCUUGCAUGUGUGAGGCACUGGGUUCAAUCCUCAGUACAACA